GAUGAACGCUGGCGGCGUGCCUAAUACAUGCAAGUCGAGCGAAUGGAUUAAGAGCUUGCUCUUAUGAAGUUAGCGGCGGACGGGUGAGUAACACGUGGGUAACCUGCCCGUAAGACUAGGAUAACUCCGGGAAACCGGGGCUAAUACCGGAUAAUAUUUUGAACUGCAUGGUUCAAAAUUGAAAGGCGGCUUCGGCUGUCACUUAUGGAUGGACCCGCGUCGCAUUAGCUAGUUGGUGAGGUAACGGCUCACCAAGGCAACGAUGCGUAGCCGACCUGAGAGGGUGAUCGGCCACACUGGGACUGAGACACGGCCCAUACUCCUACGGGAGGCAGCAGUAGGGAAUCUUCCGCAAUGGACGAAAGUCUGACGGAGCAACGCCGCGUGAGGGAUGAAGGCUUUCGGGUCGUAAAACUCUGUUGUUAGGGAAGAACAAGUGCUAGUUGAAUAAGCUGGCACCUUGACGGUACCUAACCAGAAAGCCACGGCUAACUACGUGCCAGCAGCCGCCGUAA
rnacentral:rRNA from 1 species